rfam:Epilithonimonas sp. 36-9 SCNpilot_cont_300_bf_scaffold_243, whole genome shotgun sequence.
UUCUAGCCCCGAUAGGAAUGGCAUCCUUUUUCUUUUUUCAUUAAAAAGAAAAAGAUAUAGUGGAUAGCGGGUGGGAAU